rnacentral:lncRNA from 10 species
GUUGAAGGUUGCAUGAAGAAUUCAAGUAUGGCACUUUGAUGGUGCCAUUCAAAAGCUACAGUGACAACGGAAACUAAAGGUAUGUUUGGUGUGGAUCAUUAGACUUUGGACUAGCUGCUUGACAUAAUUGAAUUUGAGGGGAUUAGAAGGAGAUGGACUAUUAAAAAAAUGCAGGAUUGUGACUUAAAGGAAGUCAGGACUAAAGAUGAUAUAUUUGGGAGUCAUCCACAUAAAAGGCUUAUAAUUAAGGCUCCAAGUUUGGAUGGUGUUGCUGAAGGAGAAUGUACAGAGGACCAGGGGCAGAACCCCAAGGCCCACUUCUGUUUACAAGGUAAAAGGAGAAAGGGCCAUUUAUUAGGAGGAAAGAGAAGGAAAGAAUGUUCAGAGGAAUAGAACUGAGAGCCAGUGUCUUGAAAAUCAAGGGAGGAGAAGAUUUAAGAAAGAGGAGUAUCAGAGUUUUACAUGCUACAGAGAGAUUGAAGAGAAAAGAUAGAUGUGGUGAUUAGUAAAUCAUGGAUGAUCAUAGAGUAAUUUCAGUAGAUGGUUGGGGGUCAAACUGGAGUAUAAUGGGUUAAGAAGUAAGUCAGGAAGUAGAGGGCUUUUCCUGGUGUUAGGGACAAUAUAAAUGAAGACAUGGAGACAGGAGUGGGCUUGGCGAACACAGGAUGAUGGGCAUCAGCCUGAGUGACCAGGUGUUCGUAGCUCAGAGUGGUAGGGAGUUAGGUUGGAUGGACGAGGUUAGAGUCAAGAUGUGGAGGCCUUUGAAUUCCAGGAUGAAUUGUUGAAACUUGACCUAUCAGGGAAUUAAAGAAGGUAAAAAUGAAAUGAUGAUGUGAGGACAUUAAUUUGUCCGGCUGCGUGGAACGAAUUAAAGGUCAGGGAACACAGGCAAGAUCACCUAGGAGGGUCUUACUCAUUUAAACAGGAGAGAAAGUCAGUCUAAGCUAGGGGUGCACAGGACUUGGUAAUGCAAGUAUUUCUUCAUUUUCCC